AUGGGAACUCUUCAGUGCUAAAGGUAGAAAAAAUUGUUUAUAUCAUCUGGCCUUAAUUUUGUUUAGUUUCAACGGCCUUUUUCAAAAUUGCAUACGGGAUAUAUUGUUGUUGUUUAUAAUUGUUUGCUUUGAAAAAGAUUUAAAAAUCAGAUACAACCCAUGGUCUCGCGCGGAAGUAAGCGGAAUAAAAGAGACGUAUCCGGUAAACAUCAUUUAUCCGGAAUGCUAGUGCGCAAUGGCGGCAAUAAACAAACGAAGCGGAGACGUUGAAGGAAAAACUUCUUUCUUUAUUUCUUUCUUACCGUUAUAAUAGAUCAGUGAAAAUGAUGGACAACGAUCAAUCGCAUAAAUCCCAUGAAGAAUACAAAACUGAAAGUAGGGCAAACAGAUCUCUGGACAUACCAGAGAUGAGGUGAGAUAAGACAGAUGGAAACCAAUGUAAUUAAGACGAAAAGGGAGUGCAACUCAAAAUACCAAGGAAAAACAAGAAAGGCCAUUGUGAAUCAGCAGCUGAUGUCCUAUACAACCAUCCUUCCAUGACACAUGCAAUGAGAAGUUUAAUUUCAGGAAAUAAAGCCUGCCUGAAACUCCAAAAUGACAUUUCCAGAAAGCUAAAAAUCAACAAAAAAUGGCUAGUAAUGCAACUAACACCUUACAACCCAGAUUUCAUUCCACUGAAAAGAAAAGGGACAGAAAAUUUUGCAUGUCCAUGUCUUGGAAGGUGACUAGGUGGGAAGUCAAUAGAUGCUUACCAGAUCAGAUGCUUGCAGAGGAUACUGGGGAUAAAGGCAGAAAAUGAUGAAAAACAGGGAAGUGGCAGACAGGGCUGACAUGAAUGCAAUAAACAAUGAGCUGAGGAGACAGUGAUGGAACUAUAUAGGACACGUGCUAUGGAGGGUAGGUGACAAUGACAGUGAGAUGGCGUUAGGUUGGACACCAGAAGGGAAGAGGGCAUUUAAGAGACCGAAAACAACCUGGAGAGGAACAGUAGAAGCAGAAAGAAAGAUUGCAGAAUGGAGAAACUGGAAUUAGAUCAAGAUGGUAGCAAUAGAACAGAGUGGAUUGGAAAGAGUCUCAGCCCUAUGUGUUUUGGCAUGGAGAGAACUAAGUAAUAUCUAGAUUGUUGGAGAUAGGAUGACCAGGAAUAUGAAUGGAUGUGCUGGAAACUGUACUAAGACCCUGAUGUAUUUGGAUAGAUUUACAUACCAUCCUGAUUUUGCUAUGCAAAACUUGAAAAAAAAUCCUCAACUCAUACUGUAGCUGACAUUGUACUUAUUAAUAUCUCAAAUGAACAUAUUUUUAGACAUACGAUAUCUAAACUAUGGAGUCCAUGUACAUUUCCACAAUGGAUAAUAGGUUAUAAUAUAUGUGUGGAAUCUUUUCCUAUGGUAUGCACAUGUUAACACAUUAGUUUAAAUGAUUAUGUAUAUCUUGUGACUAUGGAAGAAAAUGUGUUGAAAAAAGAAUGUGUGUCUAUAGGAGUUGUUGCCCUUGAAUGUAAUUCAUUAUUUACAAGAGGUUGAAAAAUAAUGCAGCACACAAUAGUACUAAAUGCAUUAUGUUAAAAUACAUUUAUGAAUGGUAUAAGUGAUACUGUAAAUUACAGAUUAAUACACUUUGUGAAAUCAUAUUAUUGUUAUGUUUAAUAAAUUUCAAGGCUG